AUUGAACGCUGGCGGCAGGCCUAACACAUGCAAGUCGAACGAGUGGCGGACGGGUGAGUAAUGUCUGGGAAACUGCCCGAUGGAGGGGGAUAAAUACUGGAAAAGGUAGCUAAUACCGCAUACCCUCGGAUGUGCCCAGAUGGGAUUAGGUAGUAGGUGGGGUAACGUCUCACCUAGGCGACGAGUCCUAGCUGGUCUGAGAGGAUGACCAGCCACACUGGAACUGAGACACGGUCCAGACUCCUACGGGAGGCAGAAGUGGGGAAUAUUGCACAAUGGGCGCAAUCCUGAUGGAGUCAUGCCGCGUGUAUGAAGAAGGCCUUCGGGUUGUAAAGUACUUUCAUCGAGGAGGCGUUACUCGCAGAAGAAGCACCGGCUAACUCCGUGCCAGCAGCCGCGGUAAUAC
rnacentral:rRNA from 1 species